UCCAACUUAACAAACCAAAAAACAAGAGAAAUCGACAACAAAGGCACCAUUAGAAUCAUAUCCAACUUUAGGAACAACGACGAGGGAGAAAUGACAUACAUGAUUACGGUCUUAGGCCAUAAGCAGUUGUUAGUUGAAAAUCUCAGAUCAUUUCCUACAGAAUGGAUGCAUCAAAGAACUUCCCAAUUCAAGUCAUCACCAGAGAAGCUUCUACCUGGAAGGACAAUUGAAUGUGUGACUAUAACUCGGUAUACAGAAAACCAAAAUGCACUGUCCCUCUUGUUUUACGUCUAUGUCAGUGCUACUGUUUUUUGUUCAUGUCAUACAGCACACAAGCAUCAGCCGCGGUUUUCAUCUGUAUAACAUUAACAAAUUGCUUGAUUGCCCAUCCGAACAGAAGAAGAGCAAGUAAGACUAGAUAAAUCCAACUUGCCGUUGCAGUAUUUACAAGAACAUCGAUAAGACUUUCAGUCUCUUUCCUUGCAAGAAGGAACAAUGUAAUAUAAAGAACCUCACAUGACACGCAGCAGUAGCCCAUGAACAUCCUAUUUCCAUAAUAAAGCCUGAAUAGCCAGCUGCUGCUGUCUUUAACAUCUUUGUGACUUGUCUUUCCUACUAAAAAGGUACUAUACAUUUGCAACCAAUGGCUGGAAAUAUCAAGCGCAAGCAACGACAAGAAAACUAAACCAGGCCUAUAAACCUGUGAAAGAAUAACCAGCAGGCAGGCAGUGCUAACCCUUGAUUGAAUUUACGAGCAAACCAGCCAUCCAAAGCAUCACAAACGAAACUGACAAAAUACAGAAGCGAAAAUAGCUUUUUGUCCACGAAGCACACAGCAAAUGCAACACAAUUCAUCAAAAUUCUCAGGUAUCCGAUGAUAUUCGGAAUAUAAAGGUAAACAUUCAAUGGCUUAGGUCUGGAUUUCCCGGCCAUCUUCGAACGAUUGUUCUCACCGGAACUCUGAUCGGCGGGAAUUGGAUUGAAAAUGAUGCCCUUCCGAUCUACG
rnacentral:misc_RNA from 1 species